AGAAAGCAUUCAAGGGACAUGCCACCGAAGGUGACAGUGGGGGAGAAAGUGGAGCAGAGGUAUGGGAACUCCCUGACUGGCUCCAGGUGGAAGGAGGCUGCAAUGGUUUAUUUACUGUAAUCAUUGCACUAGGAAAAGGCAAUGAAAUGAAACAUCUUGUUUUCAAGAGUGUCCUGGGAACCAGACGGAACACAGCCCCAUUAAUCACACAACGGCACAUAAUCAACACACGUGUACUGCAGAAGUAACUCGCUUCACAGGCUUUACCCAGGAAAAAGAACAUGUUUGGGAAGAAUCACCGGAGGGACGAGUUUUCUAAAGCCUCUCUCAGCGCAGACACCGACAACCAGACUCAUUCACAAAGCUCCAUCUUUUGGCUCAGCCGGGUUUGGCUGUCAGAAAUGUUUAAAUAUGGAAAAAAAUAAACAGUUGCAACACGUUUCUGUGCAGAGAUCUGCCUGAGCUCCUUUGUGAUGUAAUGGGAAACGCGGCAUUCAGGCUACCAGCUGUAGAAUAAACAGAACUUCGAGGGUUAAAAGGAACUGAACUUUCCACGACCCCAUCUGCAGAGAAGAAAAUAAUAAGAGGAAUGAUGCACUGCCCCACAGCCCUGAUAGUUUAUCCUCCGGUCCCGGCUGCAGAGACAAGCACCGGAUGUGAUAGGGCUGCUCAGGGCCGCCUCCGAGUGGGAUCACCCAAACUCAGUUCACAUUCAUAUCAUCAGUUAUCUCCUUUCAUCGAACACCACAGACAUGAACACAACACAACUACCCAGAGACCCAUGGGCGACACAGUGACUCUCUACAGGAGUGAGGGAGUGUCAGGAAACUCAAAGGAAGAGGUGCUUUGAAAAACCAGGAGAGGUUACCCAACUGCAGCAUCCUCUGACAGAUUAAGGUAUGCCAGGUGAGACACGUCACACCACAAUAAUCUACCUUCUUGCCCAGAACUCAGAAAGGCAGUCUGCCAGCUUCAUAGGGAAGGAGUCAGGCAGGACUUUUUCUGAAAGCUCCACUGGGGCAGGACUGAGAGGAGGAGAGAGUCUGAAAAGAGUGGAGCACCAACGCCUGACCAAGACUCAGUCCAUCUUCCUGGCAAGUCUAAGGAGGAUGAGGCACUCACACACUCCUUCAUAUUUUACUGGGGGAACAAGCUGACUGGUGAUUAACAUCAAGUACAAUGACCCCAUGUUACAAGCCUGCUGGGGCCUGUGGAGGUGGCCAUUUCCUGUGUAAUACCAGCUUGUUUAAACACUAACAUUCAAACUCCACAGCUGCAGAACAAACCCGGAAAGAGUUGAGUGAGAAGAAGCCGUGCAUUGUGUUUCAGAGCUAUGGAAGAUCAGAGAAGCAGUACAGAUGGGAAACAAGUUGGGUCUUCUGGUUCCUGGAGUGAGGAGAUCUGGAAAUACAGCCAAGAUGGCACAGAAGCUAGGCACAAAGAAGCUGAAAAAGAGGACACCCAUGUGGUACAGACACAAAGACAAAUGGCUGUAACAAGAGAACCACGCCUAAGACAUGCAAUAUCUGCCUUUUCAAACGGUUUCCCUGUGGGCCAUUAUAUCCUAGCCUACAACUGUCCACGCAGGGGUCAGAGGCUAACAUAAGACCACUGUUGCCCUGGAGAGCUUCUCACUCCACUGGAGAAAACUGCAGGAAUUCAGCAGCUAAUAGCAGAAAUGGACUUGAAUCCAAUAAGUGUGGCAGAGUUAAAAGAAUAAUACCCGGGCUUGAAAUGGCUUAGCAUGCCUCUUGGAAAGCCAAGAUGUCAUGCCAACUCUGUUUGCAUUGGGCGAAGGAUUUGAUUCUGGUACCUCAGUGCUAGGUAGCUCAAGAGGCCCUGGGCUGGGCUGGAGAUGGGGAGAAUUCUAUGCGGCUCCUGGAGAUUUCUAGCAACAAUGUGUCAUCCAGAUGCCACAUGAUACAAAGAAGAGACAAAGGUAUCAAAGGCCACCAUUCCAGGAGUUAAGAUAUGAGCAGCAAGACACCAUCCUCUAAGAAUAAGAGAUGUUUGCUGGGUGACCCCUAAAGAGACCAGACUUAGAUGAAGAGUCAACACAUGGAAGCUCCCUAAGGAAGUCAGCUUACUGCAUACGCCCUACGUAUCCCUCUUUCUCCCUAUGUGACAAGACCUCAGAGGGCUCCCUACGACCCUUCUCCAGUGUGCUCUGUAGACUAUGGAAGACGAUCCAUGGAAAAGCAGCAAGUACAAGAAUUUCUAGAGUUUUUUUUUUUUUAAACAGUACUCCAAUCCAACAGUGUGAUAAAUGCAUCCGAGCUACAAUUAGGAAGAUAUAUAGCAUCAGAAUGCGAAGGUCUGGGCAGCCUGGUGAAACGCGGGCUCUCCAGAGCCCCAGCUAUGUUUCCCAUUAUGUAACCCUGGUCAUGGGCAGACAGCCAGACUCCAAAUGAAAAAGAGACUCUGGCUUGGCACUGGUUCUAUUUUCCUAUCCUCAUUCGGGGUCAGCGCAGUGUCAUACAGCUGCAGAGAAAGCUCUGGGGAUUAAACCUGGGAAAGCCUCCAAGACCAGGACCUGGGUUCAAGUACCAGCUGAAAGCAAUAAACCAACUGCCACAGCUGGGCUAGGUUUGGAUGUUCUCAAAGUCCCCUGACUCUUUCACUUACUGAGAACUAGAAAUCAGGAUAAGUGAAGAUUUGGCCUCAGCAGAGACUGAAAUGAGGUAGGCUGUCCCACUGCCCUAGCCUUGCCAAAGGUCCUGGGAUGCAAGGGGUCACUAUGCUCAGGUCCAUGAAGCCUGUCGCUCUACUCCUCUCCAGCACGACUUUCCUUGUGCUCACUUGCCGAAGUAGGGGUGCAGCUGCCUCUCCCUUCUCACCAGAGGCUUGGUGUGGAUGGGAACACAAACUAUGCUAGCAGAUGGGGCAAGUAGGUGGGCCCUCCAAACCAAGCAGUCUGUCCUAAACACACCCAGCACUCUACAUUGACUUUCACAGUGGCCCCAGGCCACUUUCCACAUCCUGCUAUAAUCCUCUAUACCAAUAAUCUCCUGGGAUUAUGAAGCCAUUCUGUUACAAUCCCUAACGGGUACAACUGGGGAGUCAACUUGCUUCCAUCCAUGCUGGCUCUAACACACAGAUCUAAUAAGUGCCACAGCGAGGGAAGGCACACAUGCCCACAUGCCCAGCAAUCCUGCCCUCAUCACUCUGCAGUGCCAACGAUACUCUCAUCAUCAUCCUAGGUGUUCCACAUGUGCCUGCUGUUGUGGUUUUGACUGGAAGGAAGAGGAGCAUGGGCAAAGAGGAGAGAACCAAGGAAACUCAAGAUGAACCCUGGAAUUCCCCUCAGAGAGGGGAAGAUGCUGUGCAAUGAUUCUCUAACUGCAUAAGGAAAGAGGGUUCCAGAGGAUCCUGAAAACUCAAGAAGAGUAACAACUCACCAAACAAGAUCCAAGUAAGGGGGAAGAAACUCAGGACUGCAAAACACCUGGAGGGAGAGAGCUCCACGAGGAUCCAUGCCAUCAUGGCACUUUGGGAGGCCUGUCACGAGUUACACAGGCCUAGGCUGCCCACACCCCAGCUCAGCAGAAAAAGAGAACUGCAAUCCAAGUCAGACAGAUCCUGCCUGGACUCUCCGCAGAGAGCCUGGAGAGUCUGACCAGCAAAGAAACAGCAAUCUUCCUACCUACCCCACUCUCAAUCCCCCCCACCCCAAUCCAGGCUCCCGAAGAAGAAAAACAAACAACAACAGAGCAGGCAAUUGCACAAGAGCUGCAGAGUGAAGGCGAGGUGGACGGCAACGGCUUCUCGGCUGUGCCCCGUAUCUCUUCCCAGAACACUGAUGACAAAGCUGGAGACGUUACUCACAUGCUGAGCCAGUCAGCCCCUCACCCAGGGCUGGUGCUGAGAAGUCUGACUAGAAACCGGCAGUCAACGCUGACACACUCAUUUAUAAUAAAAGGUGUAUAUUAAACAAACUAGUCAAAUCCUUAAACAAAAAGUAAGGGCAAAAUGUGACUGUCAUUCUUAAUUGUCCAUGCAAAAUCCUCCCGGUUAAAUUCCAUGUGUCUCCUGGACUUUGAUAAAUGUUAUUUCUCCUCUCAAGAACAUGAACAGAGAUACCGCUGUCGAAGUAGCUCUCUUGGAAAGAAACCUGAUAAGAAAACCUGCUAUGGCAGGUGAGUGAAACCUGUGACGGACACCAUUUUGGGGGAUGACCAGACUGGAACAUAAUAUUUCACUGAGGCAGAGGGGUCUGUGGUUACUUUCUGCAUGCCACAUGUCUAGCCCUAAAGAACUGAGGAAUGCUCUCGACAGGAAAAACACAGCAGCCAAUGCUGCGAUACCAAAGCCACAACUCCACGGGGCCCUGGAGCCUCUCAAACUAAGCUGCCAGCUAGGGAGCUAACACUAGCUUUGGAUAAAACACAGCUCUGGUACAGUAAUUAAUUUUUUUCUUAACUAGGAUUACAUUAAUUUUCAAGGACUAAUGGAGUCCAGCUGUAAUGUGAAGAGUGGCUGCUGAUGCACAAAGGCACUUGUGCGUACAUUAUAAACACACACACACGCGCGCGCACACACACACACAGACCUAUAAAAAGGAUCUACUAUAACAGGAUAUUUUUAGUUUCUACAAUGCUGCACUAAAAAUACAGUCCCGGCUGAUACAUCAUGGCAGAACUAUUCUCUCUCUGUCCCUUCAGGAACAGUUUAAAACAUUUAUUUUUGUUUCCUUUUGCGAUGGUCAGAGUAGAGAGAGAAAAUAGCAACUCAUUGAUAAGAGGAAACGAGACAGACAUGAAAAAUUGAAAACUACCUAAAAACUCAUGGAGAGGUUUAUUUUAUUAGUUCUUAAUAAAUAUCUUGCAGAUUUCCUCAGGAAAUACACCAGAUCACAUGUAAAAUAGUUUGAUACUGAUGUCAACUGCAUCAACAUAUGAAGUCUAUUAGGGUGAAGCCGCAGCAGGGUGAUCAGCGUGCUGAAAAACUCCACAGUACUUGUGUGUGUGGGGGGGGAUCUCACGGCCUUCCAAAUUCUUCGAGAGGUAAAAAAGUCAGCCAAGACGCAGAGAGAGAAAGAGAGAGAAAAAAAGAUCCCACAUCCUGCUUUCAGCUGCCAGCAAUGUGAAGUGCCCAGAGAUUAAUUCUACGUCUGGCCUGGAAAUGCGA
rnacentral:lncRNA from 1 species